rnacentral:rRNA from 1 species
GAUUCUUCGGAUGAUUUUCAGUUGACUGAGCGGCGGACGGGUGAGUAACGCGUGGGUGACCUGCCCCAUACCGGGGGAUAACAGCUGGAAACGGCUGCUAAUACCGCAUAAGCGCACAGAGCUGCAUGGCUCGGUGUGAAAAACUCCGGUGGUAUGGGAUGGGCCCGCGUCUGAUUAGGCAGUUGGCGGGGUAACGGCCCACCAAACCGACGAUCAGUAGCCGGCCUGAGAGGGCGACCGGCCACAUUGGGACUGAGACACGGCCCAAACUCCUACGGGAGGCAGCAGUGGGGAAUAUUGCACAAUGGGGGAAACCCUGAUGCAGCGACGCCGCGUGAGCGAAGAAGUAUUUCGGUAUGUAAAGCUCUAUCAGCAGGGAAGAUAAUGACGGUACCUGACUAAGAAGCCCCGGCUAACUACGUGCCAGCAGCCGCGGUAAUACGUAGGGGGCAAGCGUUAUCCGGAUUUACUGGGUGUAAAGGGAGCGUAGACGGCAAGGCAAGUCUGAUGUGAAAACCCAGGGCUUAACCCUGGGACUGCAUUGGAAACUGUCUGGCUCGAGUGCCGGAGAGGUAAGCGGAAUUCCUAGUGUAGCGGUGAAAUGCGUAGAUAUUAGGAAGAACACCAGUGGCGAAGGCGGCUUACUGGACGGUAACUGACGUUGAGGCUCGAAAGCGUGGGGAGCAAAC